rnacentral:rRNA from 1 species
CUAAGCCAUGCGAGUCAAAUGUUCUUCGUGAACAUGGCGUACUGCUCAGUAACACGUGGAUAACCUGCCUUAGGACUGGCAUAACCCCGGGAAACUGGGGAUAAUUCCGGAUAGUUCAUGGUAGCUGGAAUGCUCCAUGAUCGAAAGCUAUUGCGCCUAAGGAUGGGUCUGCGGUCUAUCAGGUAGUAGUGGGUGUAAUGUACCUACUAGCCGACGACGGAUACGGGUUGUGGGAGCAAGAGCCCGGAGAUGGAUUCUGAGACAUGAAUCCAGGCCCUACGGGGCGCAGCAGGCGCGAAAACUUUACAAUGCGGGAAACCGCGAUAAGGGGACACCGAGUGCCAGCAUCUUAUGUUGGCUGUCCGCAUGUAUAAAUCACAUGUGUUAGCAAGGGCCGGGCAAGACCGGUGCCAGCCGCCGCGGUAACACCGGCGGCCCGAGUGGUGGCCACUAUUAUUGGGUCUAAAGGGUCCGUAGCCGGUUUGGUCAGUCUUCCGGGAAAUCUGACGGCUUAACCGUUAGGCUUUCGGGGGAUACUACCAGGCUUGGGACCGGGAGAGGUAAGAGGUACUACGGGGGUAGGAGUGAAAUCUUGUAAUCCUCGUGGGACCACCAGUGGCGAAGGCGUCUUACCAGAACGGGUCCGACGGUGAGGGACGAAAGCUGGGGGCACGAACCGGAUUAGAUACCCGGGUAGUCCCAGCCGUAAACUAUGCUCGCUAGGUGUCAGGGACGGUGCGACCGUUUCUGGUGCCGCAGGGAAGCCGUGAAGCGAGCCACCUGGGAAGUACGGUCGCAAGGCUGAAACUUAAAGGAAUUGGCGGGGGAGCACUACAACGGGUGGAGCCUGCGGUUUAAUUGGACUCAACGCCGGAAAACUCACCGGGGGCGACAGCAAUAUGUAGGUCAAGCUAAAGACAGUGCU